rnacentral:rRNA from 1 species
AUUGAACGCUGGCGGCAGGCCUAACACAUGCAAGUCGUGCGAGCGGCGGACGGGUGAGUAAAGUAUGGGGACUGCCUGAUGGAGGGGGAUAACAACUGGAAACGGUAGCUAUUACCGCAUACCAUCAACUAACCAAUAUGUGAUUAGCUAGUAGGUGAGGUAACGGCUAACCUAGGCGGCGAUCCCUAGCUGGUCUGAGAGGCGGAUCAGCCACACUGGGACUGAGACACGGCCCAGACGCCUACGGAGGCAGCAGUGGGGAAUAUUGCACACUGGGGUCAAGCCGGAGGCAGCCAGGCCGCGUGUAUGAAGAAGUCCUUCGGGUUGUAAAGUACUUUCAGUCGGUAGGCGUUACCGACAGAAGAAGCACCGGCUAACUACGUGCCAGCAGCCGCGGUAAUAC